rnacentral:rRNA from 1 species
UACCAGCACCCCGAGUGGUCGGGACGAUUAUUGGGCCUAAAGCAUCCGUAGCCGGUCUUACAAGUCCUCCGUUAAAUCCAACUGCUUAACAGACGGGCCGCGGAGGAUACUAUAAGACUAGGAGGCAGGAGAGGCAAGCGGUACUCAGUGGGUAGGGGUAAAAUCCGUUGAUCCAUUGAAGACCACCAGUGGCGAAGGCGGCUUGCCAGAAUGCGCUCGACGGUGAGGGAUGAAAGCUGGGGGAGCAAACCGG